GAUGAACGCUGGCGGCGUGCCUAAUACAUGCAAGUCGAGCGAACAGACGAGGAGCUUGCUCCUCUGACGUUAGCGGCGGACGGGUGAGUAACACGUGGAUAACCUACCUAUAAGACUGGGAUAACUUCGGGAAACCGGAGCUAAUACCGGAUAAUAUAUUGAACCGCAUGGUUCAAUAGUGAAAGACGGUUUUGCUGUCACUUAUAGAUGGAUCCGCGCCGCAUUAGCUAGUUGGUAAGGUAACGGCUUACCAAGGCAACGAUGCGUAGCAGACCUGAGAGGGUGAUCGGCCACACUGGAACUGAGACACGGUCCAGACUCCUACGGGAGGCAGCAGUAGGGAAUCUUCCGCAAUGGGCGAAAGCCUGACGGAGCAACGCCGCGUGAGUGAUGAAGGUCUUCGGCUCGUAAAACUCUGUUAUUAGGGAAGAACAAAUGUGUAAGUAACUAUGCACGUCUUGACGGUACCUAAUCAGAAAGCCACGGCUAACUACGUG
rnacentral:rRNA from 1 species